rnacentral:rRNA from 1 species
UUUCGCAAUGCCCGAAAGGGUGACGAAGCGACGCCGCGUGAGUGAGGAAGGCCUUCGGGUUGUAAAGCUCUGUCAGGAGUUAAGAAAUAUAAGUGUGUUAAUACCACAUUUAUUUGACGAAGGCUCCAAAGGAAGCCACGGCUAACUCUGUGCCAGCAGCCGCGGUAAUACAGAGGUGGCAAGCGUUGUUCGGAAUUAUUGGGCGUAAAGAGCACGUAGGUGGGUUUGUAAGUCAGAUGUGAAAGCCCUCUGUUCAACGGAAGAAUUGCAUCUGAAACUGCGAGUCUUGAGUGUAGGAGGGGAGAAUGGAACUUCUGGUGGAGCGGUGAAAUGCGUAGAUAUCAGAAGGAACGCCGGCGGCGAAAGCGAUUCUCUGGCCUAUUACUGACACUCAGUGUGCGAAAGCUAGGGGAGCAAACGGGAUUAGAUACCCCGGUAGUCCUAGCUGUAAACGAUGGGCACUAAGUAGAGGGGUUUUA